UUUUUUACCAAGUUGCUUAAUAAACUGAUAAAAAAUUAAAAUUUAAGCUAAUUGGCUAUUGGUUAUAAGUUGAAGGGGCAAAUAGACAUUUUAGCCGGGGGUUAAAAUGAGAAAGAAAGAAAAUUAGGGUUAAGGGGAGAGAGAGAUGUUAUAAAAAGAAAAGAGGAGAGGAAAGAAGAGGAAAUGAGGCGCCAGAGGCCGAGCGCUUACCUCGGGAGGAAAGGGGUGGCGUGGUAUUCCACUGAGAGGGGAUUUUGUUGUGGCGCACGAUGGUGCGACUGGCGCACAUCAAGUUAGGGCUUCCAUGGCCGCUUUGCUGCUCUAGUCUUUGCAGCUAAAGAGCUCAUCAAAUUUAUAUGCCUGAGAUAACAGCGGUCCAGAAAAUUCAACCUUCUCCCUUUCUUUAUCGUCUUCCUAACAAAUCAAAGAUGAGGUGACUAAGUACCAGAACAUCCAGAAGAAAACAACUAAAGGAAAACUGGAGUUUUGUGAAGAACAAUUGUUGAUAAAAGACUUUUUAGGUUAUGAUGUACUACACUUACCGCACUAUACUCAAUUUUUGCCUUUGAAUCAUAGAAAUAGUAUAUAUUUGAUGCAUCAAAA